GAUGAACGCUGGCGGCGUGCCUAAUACAUGCAAGUCGAGCGAACAGAUAAGGAGCUUGCUCCUUUGACGUUAGCGGCAGACGGGUGAGUAACACGUGGGUAACCUACCUAUAAGACUGGAAUAACUCCGGGAAACCGGGGCUAAUGCCGGAUAACAUUUAGAACCGCAUGGUUCUAAAGUGAAAGAUGGUUUUGCUAUCACUUAUAGAUGGACCCGCGCCGUAUUAGCUAGUUGGUAAGGUAACGGCUUACCAAGGCAACGAUACGUAGCCGACCUGAGAGGGUGAUCGGCCACACUGGAACUGAGACACGGUCCAGACUCCUACGGGAGGCAGCAGUAGGGAAUCUUCCGCAAUGGGCGAAAGCCUGACGGAGCAACGCCGCGUGAGUGAUGAAGGUCUUCGGGUCGUAAAACUCUGUUAUUAGGGAAGAACAAAUGUGUAAGUAACUGUGCACGUCUUGACGGUACCUAAUCAGAAAGCCACGGCUAACUACGUG
rnacentral:rRNA from 1 species